UAGGGAAUCUUCCGCAAUGGACGCAAGUCUGACGGAGCAACGCCGCGUGAGUGAAGAAGGAUUUCGGUUCGUAAAACUCUGUUGUUAGAGAAGAACAGCGCAUAGAGUAACUGUUAUGCGUGUGACGGUAUCUAACCAGAAAGCCACGGCUAACUACGUGCCAGCAGCCGCGGUAAUACGUAGGUGGCAAGCGUUGUCCGGAUUUAUUGGGCGUAAAGCGAGCGCAGGCGGUCAAUUAAGUCUGAUGUGAAAGCCCCCGGCUCAACCGGGGAGGGUCAGUGGAAACUGGUUGACUUGAGUGCAGAAGAGGAGAGUGGAAUUCCAUGUGUAGCGGUGAAAUGCGUAGAUAUAUGGAGGAACACCAGUGGCGAAGGCGACUCUCUGGUAUGUAACUGACGCUGAGGCUCGAAAGCGUGGGUAGCAAACAGG
rnacentral:rRNA from 1 species